rnacentral:rRNA from 1 species
UACAUAGGGUGCAAGCGUUAUCCGGAAUUAUUGGGCGUAAAGCGUCCGUAGGUGGUUUAUUAAGUCUGAAGUUAAAGCCCGGGGCUCAACCCCGGCACGCUUUGGAUACUGAUAAACUAGAAUCAUCGAGAGGUUAGUGGAACUCCAUGUGAAGCGGUGGAAUGCGUAGAUAUAUGGAAGAACACCAAUGGCGAAGGCAACUAACUGGCGAUGUAUUGACACUGAGGGACGAAAGCGUGGGUAGCAAACAGG